UUAGUAUUAGUACAAUUAAAUUUGUAAAAUUAAAUAAUAAAUACAUCAUUAAUCUAUAAAUUAGAAGUUGAAGAACUUACAUUAAUUAUUCAGUGGACACAUGACAAAUGUUAAAGUGAUGAUGUGUCAAUCAUAUGGAGAGAGUUGGCCAACUUUCAUAUAUAUGAUUUAGUAGUAAUA
rnacentral:sRNA from 1 species